GAUGAACGCUGGCGGCGUGCCUAAUACAUGCAAGUCGAGCGAACAGACGAGGAGCUUGCUCCUCUGACGUUAGCGGCGGACGGGUGAGUAACACGUGGAUAACCUACCUAUAAGACUGGGAUAACUUCGGGAAACCGGAGCUAAUACCGGAUAAUAUAUUGAACCGCAUGGUUCAAUAGUGAAAGACGGUUUUGCUGUCACUUAUAGAUGGAUCCGCGCCGCAUUAGCUAGUUGGUAAGGUAACGGCUUACCAAGGCAACGAUGCGUAGCCGACCUGAGAGGGUGAUCGGCCACACUGGAACUGAGACACGGUCCAGACUCCUACGGGAGGCAGCAGUAGGGAAUCUUCCGCAAAGGGCGAAAGCCUGACGGAGCAACGCCGCGUGAGUGAUGAAGGUCUUCGGAUCGUAAAACUCUGUUAUUAGGGAAGUACAAAUGUGUAAGUAACUAUGCACGUCUUGACGGUACCUAAUCAGAAAGCCACGGCUAACUACGUG
rnacentral:rRNA from 1 species